AUCCAGCUGACGAGUCCCGAAUAGGACAAAACGCGCCUCUUGGAU
rnacentral:hammerhead_ribozyme from 1 species